rnacentral:rRNA from 1 species
AUGUCUAUCUUGUCCUGGAAUGUCCAGGGGCUGGAGGAUGAUGACAAGUGUGUGCUUGUGCGUAAGGCUAUCUGUGAUGCAAACCCCGUGAUUGCGUGUAUCCAGGAAACAAAGCUCUCCGCGGUGUCCGUGUUCAAGGCCCGAACCUUCAUCCCUCCUAGGUUGGCUGCUUUCGAGUGUGUGGAGGCUGACGGCUCCCACAGGGGGCUUGUCACGGCUUGGGAUCCGAACGCCCUUUCCCUGGUCUCUUCUCACUCCGGUCGCUUCGCCCUGACCACUGUCCUCUCCUCGACCUCCUCCGACCUCUACUUCUCUAUCUCCAACGUCUACGCGUCGUCCGACCACUCGCUAAUGCAAGAGUUCAUUGAUGAAAUGCUCUCCCUAGCGCCAUCGGUGCAUGGUGCUUGGCUUGCCAUCGGUGAUUUUAAUCUCAUCAGGUACCGGGAGGAGAAAAACAAUGCCAACUUUUCUGCCUCACUCUCCUCCAGGUUUAAUACCCUCAUUGCCUCCUUGUCCUGGCUCGAGCUCCCUCUCUCCGAUCGCUUAUUCACGUGGACGAACCAUCGCUCCCCCCCACUCUUGCACACCUCGACCGCGCGUUCUUCAAUGCCGACUGGGAUUCUGUCCUUCCCAACUCCUCGCUGGCGUCGCGCCCUCGGGUGA